CCAACACACACAUCGAAAGCCUCCUUUUAAACUGUGCCUGGGGAGCCCACCUAAAGACAGAUCUGUUUCACCAGAUCGCUAAAGUGAUCUCUAAGGACUGUUUUUGCUCCAAGAGUAGGUGACUUCAGGAGCAGGCAUGUAUUGACAGCGGUGAUGCUUCUGGCUCUUUGUGAGU